GUGAAUCAUCGAAUCUUUGAACGCACCUUGCGCCCUCUGGUAUUCUGGAGGGCACGCCUGUUUGAUGGCGCGAAACAAAAGCCUUUGGUAGUUUAUGAAGUGUCAAGCUGAUUAAAUUUUCAAAUGGCGUUCGUGGAUGCUGGUUGUACAAUUUAUUGUAUAACUCUUCCCGGUAGUACAUCUACCUGGUCAUCCGAAAUACAGUCAGAUAGUGUUGUCUUUCUGCAGCUCAUAGUUUCAUGACUAUACGCUCAACUGUAGCCAGUUUCAUAAAUACCUUGUGGGUUUUCUUGCUACUAG
rnacentral:misc_RNA from 1 species